CAGCCGCCGCGGUAAUACGUAGGGUGCGAGCGUUAAUCGGAAUUACUGGGCGUAAAGCGUGCGCAGGCGGUUGUGUAAGACAGGUGUGAAAUCCCCGGGCGUAACCUGGGAACUGCGCUUGUGACUGCACAGCUAGAGUAUGGCAGAGGGGGGUGGAAUUCCACGUGUAGCAGUGAAAUGCGUAGAGAUGUGGAGGAACACCGAUGGCGAAGGCAGCCCCCUGGGCCAACACUGACGCUCAUGCACGAAAGCGUGGGGAGCAAACAGGAUUAGAUACCCGCGUAGUCCCUGUCUCUUAUAC
rnacentral:rRNA from 1 species